rnacentral:rRNA from 1 species
AACGAACGCUGGCGGCAUGCCUAACACAUGCAAGUCGAACGAGACCUUCGGGGCUAGUGGCGCACGGGUGCGUAACGCGUGGUAACCUGCCCUUAGGUUCGGAAUAACUCCCCGAAAGGGGUGCUAAUACCGGAUAAUGUCUUCGGCCCAAAGAUUUAUCGCCUUUGGAUGGGCCCGCGUUGGCUUGGCUAGUUGGGAGGGUAAAAGCCUACCAAGGCGACGAUCCAUAGCUGGUCUGAGAGGCUGAUCAGCCACACUGGGACUGAGACACGGUCCAGACUCCUACGGGAGGCAGCAGUGGGUAAUCUUGGACAAUGGGCGAAAGCCUGAUCCAGCAAUGCCGCGUGAGUGAUGAAGGCCUUAGGGUUGUAAAGCUCUUUUACCCGGGAUGAUAAUGACAGUACCGGGAGAAUAAGCUCCGGCUAACUCCGUG